rnacentral:rRNA from 1 species
UAGCACAGAGAGCUUGCUCUCGGGUGACGAGCGGCGGACGGGUGAGUAAUGUCUGGGAAACUGCCUGAUGGAGGGGGAUAACUACUGGAAACGGUAGCUAAUACCGCAUAACGUCGCAAGACCAAAGUGGGGGACCUUCGGGCCUCAUGCCAUCAGAUGUGCCCAGAUGGGAUUAGCUAGUAGGUGGGGUAAUGGCUCACCUAGGCGACGAUCCCUAGCUGGUCUGAGAGGAUGACCAGCCACACUGGAACUGAGACACGGUCCAGACUCCUACGGGAGGCAGCAGUGGGGAAUAUUGCACAAUGGGCGCAAGCCUGAUGCAGCCAUGCCGCGUGUAUGAAGAAGGCCUUCGGGUUGUAAAGUACUUUCAGCGAGGAGGAAGGCGUUAAGGUUAAUAACCUUGGCGAUUGACGUUACUCGCAGAAGAAGCACCGGCUAACUCCGUGCCAGCAGCCGCGGUAAUACGGAGGGUGCAAGCGUUAAUCGGAAUUACUGGGCGUAAAGCGCACGCAGGCGGUUUGUUAAGUCAGAUGUGAAAUCCCCGGGCUCAACCUGGGAACUGCAUUUGAAACUGGCAAGCUUGAGUCUUGUAGAGGGGGGUAGAAUUCCAGGUGUAGCGGUGAAAUGCGUAGAGAUCUGGAGGAAUACUCGGUGGCGAAGGCGGCCCUCUGGACAAAGACUGACGCUCAGUGCGAAAGCGUGGGGAGCAAACAGGAUUAGAUACCUGGUAGUCCACGCUGUAAACGAUGUCGACUUGGAGGUUGUUCCCUUGAGGAGUGGCUUCCGGAGCUAACGCGUUAAGUCGACCGCCUGGGGAGUACGGCCGCAAGGUUAAAACUCAAAUGAAUUGACGGGGGCCCGCACAAGCGGUGGAGCAUGUGGUUUAAUUCGAUGCAACGCGAAGAACCUUACCUACUCUUGACAUCCAGAGAACUUAGCAGAGAUGCUUUGGUGCCUUCGGGAACUCUGAGACAGGUGCUGCAUGGCUGUCGUCAGCUCGUGUUGUGAAAUGUUGGGUUAAGUCCCGCAACGAGCGCAACCCUUAUCCUUUGUUGCCAGCGGUUCGGCCGGGAACUCAAAGGAGACUGCCAGUGAUAAACUGGAGGAAGGUGGGGAUGACGUCAAGUCAUCAUGGCCCUUACGAGUAGGGCUACACACGUGCUACAAUGGCAUAUACAAAGAGAAGCGACCUCGCGAGAGCAAGCGGACCUCAUAAAGUAUGUCGUAGUCCGGAUUGGAGUCUGCAACUCGACUCCAUGAAGUCGGAAUCGCUAGUAAUCGUAGAUCAGAAUGCUACGGUGAAUACGUUCCCGGGCCUUGUACACACCGCCCGUCACACCAUGGGAGUGGGUUGCAAAAGAAGUAGGUAGCU